rnacentral:rRNA from 1 species
ACGAUGACCACUUCGGUGGGGAUUAGUGGCGAACGGGUGAGUAACACGUGGGCAAUCUGCCCUGCACUCUGGGACAAGCCCUGGAAACGGGGUCUAAUACCGGAUACUGAUCCGUCUGGGCAUCCAGACGGUUCGAAAGCUCCGGCGGUGCAGGAUGAGCCCGCGGCCUAUCAGCUUGUUGGUGAGGUAGUGGCUCACCAAGGCGACGACGGGUAGCCGGCCUGAGAGGGCGACCGGCCACACUGGGACUGAGACACGGCCCAGACUCCUACGGGAGGCAGCAGUGGGGAAUAUUGCACAAUGGGCGAAAGCCUGAUGCAGCGACGCCGCGUGAGGGAUGACGGCCUUCGGGUUGUAAACCUCUUUCAGCAGGGAAGAAGCGAAAGUGACGGUACCUGCAGAAGAAGCGCCGGCUAACUACGUGCCAGCAGCCGCGGUAAUACGUAGGGCGCGAGCGUUGUCCGGAAUUAUUGGGCGUAAAGAGCUCGUAGGCGGCUUGUCACGUCGGUUG